UGUAGAUUAACCAAAGCCACUUGCUUACACCAAGUAAAUGUCUGUUCAACCCAGACCAUUUUGA
rnacentral:tRNA from 1 species